rnacentral:rRNA from 1 species
UACGUAGGGGGCAAGCGUUGUCCGGAUUUAUUGGGCGUAAAGAGCGUGUAGGCGGCUUUACAGGUCCGUUGUGAAAACUCGAGGCUCAACCUCGAGACGCCGAUGGAAACCAUCUGACUAGAGUCCGGAAGAGGAGAGUGGAAUUCCUGGUGUAGCGGUGAAAUGCGCAGAUAUCAGGAAGAACACCCGUGGCUAAGGCGGCUCUCUAGUACGUGACUGACGCUGAGACGCGAAAGCGUGGGGAGCGAACAGG